UUCCUCCCUCCCUCCCUCCCUCCCUCCCUCUUUCUUUCUUUCUUUCUUUCUUUCUUUCUUUCUUUCUUUCUUUCUUUCUUUCUUUUUUGGUUUUUCGAGACAGGGUUUCUCUGUGUAGCCCUGGCUGUCUUGGAACUCACUUUGUAGACCAGGCUGGCCUCGAACUCAGAAAUCCCCCUGCCUCUGCCUCCCAAAUGCUGGGAUUAAAGGCGUGUGCCACCACUGCCCGGCUACUACUUUCUAUAUAGACCAAGCUAGCCUUGGAGUCAUAGAAAUUCACCUGCCUCUGCCUACGCACCUGCAUGGGCCACCAUGUCCACCAGUGUUUUAUUCUAAAAGCUCUCUGAACUUCCUGUUGUGUAUCGGUCAAAAGCCUUUGUAUAUUUCCUGUAAAGAUUAGAGUCCAUGCAUGCACAGUGCUGAGCAUGAUGGGUAGGGUAGAACAGAUUCUGGAUACAGAGUUGCACAAGGGGAUUAUAGAUGAGUGAGUUUUGCUUUUAUUUCAUCUGCUAGUUUCAUGCUACUCCACUAACACCCAACUUUGCUUUGGGAAGAGGAUGCUGUGUGAUAGCCAUUUAGAAUGUUCCAGACAAAAGUCCUAAAGAUAUAAUGAGGUAUUUGGUUCCAGUCAUUACUCCAGAUCAGGAAGGGAUCUGGGAAAACCACUUGCUGAUGACUGAGCAGGGGAAAAGCAGGAUUAGACCGUGGCAUGCAAGCUGUGACACCCUCCCUCACUCCCACCUCCCCAUGAUUUUCUCAGCCUUCGUCCUCAUUUUUUGUUUCUGCAUGCUCUGUCAUGUCUUUUCAACUGUCUUAAGUGGUUAGAGUUCACGGGUCUCAGGUUGGUAUUCACUGGGCCAUUUACACCUUUGGGUUUCAGAACCUUCUCUGAAAAUGCCCUAAUUACAGUUGUUAAUUUUAAAAGGUCAUUUUUUUCCUUCCUGUUUCCUCCUGUGAAAAUGAACUCUGGAACUCUUUUUAAAAGCUGGGCAAGUGGAAACACGUGACCUGGUUUUUGAUUUCUGUAUGACUUGAGAUUCAGCUAUCAAAGGCAAUUUAGUCCUUGGUGUGGAAGUUUUCUGGGAAAGUGCAGUUACUGGGAUGAAAACGGAGUUUCUGAAAUAUUUUAGAAGGUUUAAGCAGAUUAGUGAGCUUCCAGCUGUUAGCCACUGCAGCCUGGGAGGAAUAAUUAGUGUUCAUUUCUGAUGGGGAAGUUAAGGCUGGUGGCACACAGUGACCAUGAUUAUCCAUGC
rnacentral:lncRNA from 1 species